rnacentral:rRNA from 1 species
AUGAACGCUGGCGGCGUGCCUAAUACCUGCAAGUCGCGCGAACAGACGAGGAGCUUGCUCCACUGACGUUAGCGGCGGACGGGUGAGUAACACGUGGAUAACCUACCUAUAAGACUGGGAUAACUUCGGGAAACCGGAGCUAAUACCGGAUAAUAUAUUGAACCGCAUGGUUCAAUAGUGAAAGACGGUUUUGCUGUCACUUAUAGAUGGAUCCGCGCCGCAUUAGCUAGUUGGUAAGGUAACGGCUUACCAAGGCAACGAUGCGUAGCCGACCUGAGAGGGUGAUCGGCCACACUGGAACUGAGACACGGUCCAGACUCCUACGGGAGGCAGCAGUAGGGAAUCUUCCGCAAUGGGCGAAAGCCUGACGGAGCAACGCCGCGUGAGUGAUGAAGGUCUUCGGAUCGUAAAACUCUGUUAUUAGGGAAGAACAAAUGUGUAAGUAACUAUGCACGUCUUGACGGUACCUAAUCAGAAAGCCACGGCUAACUACGUG